rnacentral:misc_RNA from 1 species
UACGGAGGGUGCAAGCGUUAAUCGGAAUUACUGGGCGUAAAGCGCGCGUAGGCGGUCCGGUCAGUUGGAUGUGAAAGCCCAGGGCUCAACCUUGGAAUGGCAUUCAAUACUGCCGGACUCGAGUACGGGAGAGGAAGGUAGAAUUCCACGUGUAGCGGUGAAAUGCGUAGAGAUGUGGAGGAAUACCAGUGGCGAAGGCGGCCUUCUGGCCUGAUACUGACGCUGAGGCGCGAAAGCAUGGGUAGCAAACAGG